rnacentral:rRNA from 1 species
UACAGAGGUCUCAAGCGUUGUUCGGAUUCAUUGGGCGUAAAGGGUGCGUAGGCGGCAGGGUAAGUCUGGUGUGAAAUCCCGGGGCUCAACCCCGGAACUGCACUGGAUACUGCUUUGCUAGAGUACUGGAGAGGGAACUGGAAUUUACGGUGUAGCAGUGAAAUGCGUAGAUAUCGUAAGGAAGACCAGUGGCGAAGGCGAGUUCCUGGACAGUAACUGACGCUGAGGCACGAAGGCCAGGGGAGCAAACGGG